AACUUUGAGCGGUGGAUCACUCGGCUCGUGUGUCGAUGAGGAGUGCAACCAACUGUAUGAAUUAAUGUGAACUGCAUACUGUUUUGAACAUCGACAUCUUGAACGCACAUUGCGGUUACAGGAUAUCCUGUGUCCACGCCUGUCCGAUGGUCG
rnacentral:rRNA from 1 species